UACAGAGGUCCCAAGGCGUUGUUCGGAUUCAUUGGGCGUAAAGGGUGCGUAGGCGGCGCGGUAAGUCGGGUGUGAAAUCUCGGGGCUUAACUCCGAAACUGCAUUCGAUACUGCCGUGCUUGAGGACUGGAGAGGAGACUGGAAUUUACGGUGUAGCGGUGAAAUGCGUAGAUAUCGUAAGGAAGACCAGUGGCGGAAGGCGGGUCUGCUGGACAAUUCCUGACGCUGAGGCACGGAAGGUCAGGGGAGCAAAACGGG
rnacentral:rRNA from 1 species